GGGAUUGUGGCUCAGAGGUAGAGCUCUCGCCUGCCAUGCAUGAGGCACUGGGUUCGAUCCUCAGCACCA
rnacentral:tRNA from 1 species